rnacentral:rRNA from 1 species
AACCAGAAGGCGCAAUGAAAGUGAAGGCACGGUCGCCGUGCUGAGGUGAGAGCUGUCGAUGGCAGCACAUCAUCGACCGAUCCUAUUCACGCCCCCGUGGUGUGGCAGGAUUCGAGUAAGAGUGUACCUGUUGCGACCCGAAAGAUGGUGAACUAUGCCUGAAUAGGGUGAAGCCAGAGGAAACUCUGGUGGAGGCCCGUAGCGAUUCUGACGUGCAAAUCGAUCGUCAAAUUUGGGUAUAGGGGCGAAAGACUAAUCGAACCAUCUAGUAGCUGGUUCCCUCCGAAGUUUCCCUCAGGAUAGCUGUAGCCCGAAGCAGUUUUAUCAGGUAAAGCGAAUGAUUAGAGGUAUCGGGGAAGAAACUUCCUCGACCUAUUCUCAAACUUUAAAUAGGUAAGAAGUCCGACUUGCUCAAUUUGAAGCCGGACAUAGAAUGCUGGGUUACUAGUGGGCCAUUUUUGGUAAGCAGAACUGGCGAUGCGGGAUGAACCGAACGCCGAGUUAAGGUGCCAAAGUCGACGCUCAUCAGAUCCCACAAA